UCGAGAUGCGCCCGGGGGGAGCCGGGCUGGCGGGGACCUCGCGGGGUCCUAGCCGGCCAUGCCACCCCCGCGGCCGCGUGACCAGUAACUGUUCCGUAGGUGAACCUGCGGAAGGAUCAUUA
rnacentral:rRNA from 1 species